rnacentral:rRNA from 1 species
GACGAACGCUGGCGGCGUGCUUAACACAUGCAAGUCGAACGGACAGACAGAGAGCUUGCUCUCUUGAAGUUAGUGGCGAACGGGUGAGUAACGCGUAAUCAACCUGCCCUUCAGAGGGGGAUAACAACGGGAAACCGUUGCUAAUACCGCGUACGAUUCAUGAACGGCAUCGUGUAUGAAUGAAAGGUGGCCUCUAUGUAUAAGCUAUCGCUGAAGGAGGGGAUUGCGUGUGAUUAGCUAGUUGGAGGGGUAACGGCCCACCAAGGCAAUGAUCAGUAGCCGGCCUGAGAGGAUGAACGGCCACAUUGGGACUGAGACACGGCCCAAACUCCUACGGGAGGCAGCAGUGGGGAAUCUUGCACAAUGGGCGAAAGCCUGAUGCAGCGACGCCGCGUGGAGGAUGAAGGUUUUCGGAUUGUAAACUCCUGUUAAGUGGGAAGAAAGAUCCAUACCUAAUACGUAUGGAGGAUGACGGUACCACUAGAGAAAGCACCGGCAAACUUCGUGCCAGCCGCCGCCGUAA